ensembl:lncRNA
GCAGCUGCGCGCGCUCCCGCGGACGCUAAUCACGAGCACUGUCCAGCACAACACCCGGAGCUCAGGGGGCAAAACACUCGCAUGAGUGCUGCUGUUUGACUGAGGAAGAAUAAAGUAGUCGUGUUUCCCAGCAUGCCUCAGCUGUGGAGUCGUAUGUUGAGUACUCAUUUACCCUGCUGCCCUGUCAGUUCCGCACAGAGAGAUUGUUUGGCCCCUCAGUGGUGUGGAGUCGCUCUGACCUCAGUCCUCCAACCGUCCACCAGCGGCAGCGUCAAGGAGACGAAUUGAAAGAUCAAAACCAGCGUUACAGCGG